AUUGAACGCUGGCGGCAUGCUUUACACAUGCAAGUCGAACGGCAGCACGGGGGCAACCCUGGUGGCGAGUGGCGAACGGGUGAGUAAUGCAUCGGAACGCGUCCUGUAAUGGGGGAGUAACCUAGCGAAAGUUAGGCUAAUACCGCAUACGUCCUGAGGGAGAAAGCGGGGGAUCGUAAGACCUCGUGUUAUAGGAGCGGCCGAUGUCGGAUUAGCUAGUUGGUGGGGUAAAGGCCUACCAAGGCGACGAUCCGUAGCGGGUCUGAGAGGACGGCCCGCCACACUGGGACUGAGACACGGCCCAGACUCCUACGGGAGGCAGCAGUGGGGAAUUUUGGACAAUGGGGGCAACCCUGAUCCAGCCAUGCCGCGUGAGUGAAGAAGGCC
rnacentral:rRNA from 1 species